rnacentral:piRNA from 1 species
UGAGAAGCGCAAAGGGAAGGAGAG